AUGGCUUCUCAGCCUUUUGGCUAAGAUCAAAUGUAUCUGUUCUCAUCAGUUUAAUAUCUGAUAUAUUGUCUAUCUGAGAACAUUAUAUUAAAUGGAUUUUUGGAGCUGGGAGAUGGAAUAGGAGCUAGCUCUGUCCACUCCGCACAUUGACUUGUAUUGCAGUGCUUUUGAGAAUGGUGCACCAGAA